rnacentral:rRNA from 1 species
GAUGAACGCUGGCGGUAUGCUUAACACAUGCAAGUCGAACGGACUCUUCGGAGUUAGUGGCGGACGGGUGAGUAACGCGUGAGAAUCUGGCUUUGGGUUCGGGACAACCACUGGAAACGGUGGCUAAUACCGGAUGUGCCGAGAGGUAAAAGAGAAAUUGCCUGAAGAUGAGCUCGCGUCUGAUUAGCUAGUUGGUGAGGUAAAGGCUCACCAAGGCAGCGAUCAGUAGCUGGUCUGAGAGGAUGACCAGCCACACUGGGACUGAGACACGGCCCAGACUCCUACGGGAGGCAGCAGUGGGGAAUUUUCCGCAAUGGGCGAAAGCCUGACGAAGCAAUACCGCGUGAGGGAAGAAGGCGCUUGGGUUGUAAACCUCUUUUCUUAGGGAAGAACAAAAUGACGGUACCUAAGGAAUCAGCAUCGGCUAACUCCGUG